GAUGAACGCUGGCGGCGUGCCUAAUACAUGCAAGUCGAGCGAACAGACGAGGAGCUUGCUCCUCUGACGUUAGCGGCGGACGGGUGAGUAACACGUGGAUAACCUACCUAUAAGACUGGGAUAACUUCGGGAAACCGGAGCUAAUACCGGAUAAUAUAUUGAACCGCAUGGUUCAAUAGUGAAAGACGGUUUUGCUGUCACUUAUAGAUGGAUCCGCGCCGCAUUAGCUAGUUGGUAAGGUAACGGCUUACCAAGGCAACGAUGCGUAGCCGACCUGAGAGGGUGAUCGGCCACACGGGAACUGAGACACGGUCCAGACUCCUAGGGGAGGCAGCAGUGGGGAAUCUUCCGCAAUGGGCGAAAGCUUGAGGGAGAAACGCCGCGGGAGUGAUGAAGGUCUUCGGAUUGUAAACCUCUGUUAUUAGGGAAGAACAAAUGUGUAAGUAACUAUGCACGUUUUGACGGUACCUAAUCAGAAAGCCACGGCUAACUACGU
rnacentral:rRNA from 1 species